rnacentral:lncRNA from 1 species
AAAAUACUAAUAUGACCUUCUCUUCCCUUUGAUCUCCAAAUUUUCUUUAGUGCCAUAUACAUAUAUAUAUUUACAAAAGUUUGAGAUCUAGCAAAGAUGCAAAAUAUCAAAACUACAAUAGAUCUUCCCAAAAUCAAGCCAAUAAAAAAGAAAUUAGAUGAAGUUGUACACACUUCCAAUGUUGAAGUGUAUUAUGGGAAUGCACCAUUGGCUAUUCCAUUCAAGUGGGAAUCUCAACCAGGAACACCAAAAGUCAAGAUUCUUGAAACCCCACUUCCUCCUCUAACUCCACCACCAUCAUAUCUUGAGAAGAAAAUGAAAAAUGCCAUACAAAAGCAAACAAAGGGCAAAUUAUUACGAAGGCUUUUUUUCCUUCCCAAGUUAAACUUGAGAAAAAGUCAUCUACAAUCAUCUCCUACUAGUUCAUCAUCAUCAUCAUCAUGUGUGCCAAUAAAAUGCUACUUUAAUUCUCUUGUAGGUUCCCAGCUGACUAGAUUGUCCCCCUAGUGGUGAGUGGUGUAAUGCCUCAAAGAUUUUUCUCCUGAGAUUUCCGUUAUUCCCUAUAUAUAUUCUUUGCUCAUACCUGAUGAUAUCCUACUGUAUUGUAUUGUUAGACUUUCCAAUAGAAUCUGUAAUCAACUGUGUCAGUAGUUGUAGAAAAACUAGAUCAUGCUCAUAACUACUUAUUAUCUCUUGCAUCCAAGUAGGCCCUACCGCUGUGAUAGAAAUCAAUAUAGGCUCUUCACUCAUUCUCCUAUAUAUUUCAUCAACCACUUUGUUUUCUGCUCUUUUUUUUGUAUUGAACUUCAUAAUCUAUCCCUUUUAGUUUAGCUAGGCCUCUGUGUUGUAAUGCAGUGGUAAUCUUUGCUCCAAUAAGUACUUAAGACUCUGAUGGUCAGUCCUAAUAAUAAAAUGCCCUCCUUAUAGAUAAUGCCUCCACUUAUCUACUACAGUUAAGACUGUCAUAUACUCCUUCUCAUAGGUAGAAAUUACCUAAUACUUAGGGGGAUAUUGAUUUACUGAGAUGUGCUAAGGACCUUCUUUCCUGCAUAAGGACUGCCUCUAUCUUUGUGGAACAAGCUUUAGUUUCUACUAUAAACACCUUAGUAAAAUCAGUCAAAGACAAAGUUGGGGUAGUUGUUAUUGCCACCUUCAAUUUCUAGAAGGCAAUAUCUCCUUUCUCACUCUAUUGAAAUGAAUUCUUUUUCAGAAAAUUGAUUAGGGUUUACUAAUGCUUCAUAAGACUAUAAAACCUCCUAUAAUACCCUCUUAGGCCUAGGAAUCCCCUAAAUACUUUGAGGGUCUUGAUGUAGGCCAAGUGAUCAUAGCUGAUAUCUUGGUUGGAUCAGUCAUCACCCCACUUCUUGUAAUUAUAUGACCCAAUUACAUGUACAAACUAUCUUUAAUAGUCUUGAAAUACAUGAUUCAUAAGGCCUUGAAAAGUUACAGAAGCAUUAGCGAGACUAAAAGGCAUCACCUUAAACUCAUAAUGACCCAAAUGUGUCCUGAAGGCUAUUUUAUACACAUUAUCUUCACUCAUCCUUAUUUGGUGAUACCCAACCCUUAAGUCAAUUUUAGAGAACACUUGUGAUCCACUGAGUUCAUCUAAUAGAUCAUUCACAAAAUGAAUAGGGAACUUGUACUUGAUAGUUAGUUUAUUUAAUUACCUAUAAUCAAUGCAAAAUCUUCAUCUACCAUCCUCCUUUUUUACUAGUAAAACUGGUGAUAAAAUCGAGAUGACUAGGCUGAAUAAUGCCACUGUUUAGUAUUUCUUUUACUUGUUUUUCAAUAUUAUUUUUCUGGAAAAAAUUAUACUUGUAUGGUCUGAUACUGACUGAAUUGCCUCUAGUUUCAAGGGAAUAUAGUGAUGAUGUUGUCUUUUGGAGGUAAUGUAAAUGGUUCUUUAAAAACAUGCUAUUAAUCUCUGCAUGUAUAGUCUUUUCUUCAUUGACCUCCUCUGCAGCAACAGUAAAUAAAUGUGCCCACAACCGCUUCCCCUUUUUAAACCAUUACUUGACAUUAACUGUUGACAUGCUCUACAAUUCUACUACAUUAUAUAUCCCAUUAAGCUCCAAUCUCUUUCCCUCUACUACAGUUAAGACUGUCAUAUACUCCUUCUCAUAGGUAGAAAUUACCUAAUACUUAGGGGGAUAUUGAUUUACUGAGAUGUGCUAAGGACCUUCUUUCCUGCAUAAGGACUGCCUCUAUCUUUGUGGAACAAGCUUUAGUUUCUACUAUAAACACCUUAGUAAAAUCAGUCAAAGACAAAGUUGGGGUAGUUGUUAUUGCCACCUUCAAUUUCUAGAAGGCAAUAUCUCCUUUCUCACUCUAUUGAAAUGAAUUCUUUUUCAGAAAAUUGAUUAGGGUUUACUAAUGCUUCAUAAGACUAUAAAACCUCCUAUAAUACCCUCUUAGGCCUAGGAAUCCCCUAAAUACUUUGAGGGUCUUGAUGUAGGCCAAGUGAUCAUAGCUGAUAUCUUGGUUGGAUCAGUCAUCACCCCACUUCUUGUAAUUAUAUGACCCAAUUACAUGUACAAACUAUCUUUAAUAGUCUUGAAAUACAUGAUUCAUAAGGCCUUGAAAAGUUACAGAAGCAUUAGCGAGACUAAAAGGCAUCACCUUAAACUCAUAAUGACCCAAAUGUGUCCUGAAGGCUAUUUUAUACACAUUAUCUUCACUCAUCCUUAUUUGGUGAUACCCAACCCUUAAGUCAAUUUUAGAGAACACUUGUGAUCCACUGAGUUCAUCUAAUAGAUCAUUCACAAAAUGAAUAGGGAACUUGUACUUGAUAGUUAGUUUAUUUAAUUACCUAUAAUCAAUGCAAAAUCUUCAUCUACCAUCCUCCUUUUUUACUAGUAAAACUGGUGAUAAAAUCGAGAUGACUAGGCUGAAUAAUGCCACUGUUUAGUAUUUCUUUUACUUGUUUUUCAAUAUUAUUUUUCUGGAAAAAAUUAUACUUGUAUGGUCUGAUACUGACUGAAUUGCCUCUAGUUUCAAGGGAAUAUAGUGAUGAUGUUGUCUUUUGGAGGUAAUGUAAAUGGUUCUUUAAAAACAUGCUAUUAAUCUCUGCAUGUAUAGUCUUUUCUUCAUUGACCUCCUCUGCAGCAACAGUAAAUAAAUGUGCCCACAACCGCUUCCCCUUUUUAAACCAUUACUUGACAUUAACUGUUGACAUGCUCUACAAUUCUACUACAUUAUAUAUCCCAUUAAGCUCCAAUCUCUUUCACUUAUGAUAUACCACAACCUUACAGGCUUAAAAGUGUAAUAUGAUAGGGUUAUGGUUCAUCAUUCAAUCCUCUUCUAAAAUUAGGUCACAACCUCUCAAGUUAAUGAGUCUAACUAGAUCCUCAAACUCCACACCUUGGAUAUUCUAUUUGAAUUUGGGACAAGAGUAAUGGCUCUUCAUUUUAAUUUUAUUUGCCACAGUUACCCUCAUGGAUAUGGCCUUUUUAAUUACACAACCAAUCUGUUUGGCAACCCAUAUCUAGGAAAAUAUGAGUACUCACAGAGUCAAACAACAAGAUGGUGUAUCAUUUUCUUGGAUAAGCCUCUCAAGUUAAUUGUGUUAGGCACGUCAGUUCAAAAUAAGGUAUUGAUGCUAAUAGCUUCAUCCACCCCUUUAAUAUCUUGAAUUUUACACCCAAGUCUUCCUCCUCCACCAUUAACUCCAGUCGUGUAGACUCAUCAAAUCCUUAUAUGAAUUAAAACAAACAGCAAGACAAUAGAAUGUAAAACUACCAGAGGAUUUACUUAAUUAAGCUUGAGUUUAAACAAAAUCAAUAUAAUCAUUCUUUAUUCAUAAAGAGGUCUGAAUAUAGUAUUGUUAUGAUCCUAAUCUAUGUAGAUGAUAUGUUAGUUACAGGAGAUAGUCUGAAACAAGCUGAAGAAACAAAACAAGCAUUGUACCAGGUAUUCAAGAUAAAAGACUUGAGAGAGCUAAAAUAUUUUCUUGGAAUAGAGUUUGUUAAAUCUAAAGAAGGCAUUCUAAUGAGUCAGAGAAAAUAUUCAUUUGAGCUCAUAUUUGAGCUUGGACUUGCAGUAUAUAAACCAUCUGAUACUCCUAUAGAUACUAAUGUCAAGCUGACAACGAGAGAAUAUGAUGAGUAUACCAAUAUGAAUACAAGAGAAAAUCCAUUGCUAGCUGAUGCCAGCUCUUAUCAAAAGUUAAUAGGAAAAAUUUUGUACCUCACAGUCAGUAGACCUGAUAUCACAUAUAGUGUUCAACCACUAAGCCAAUAUCUUCAAUAGCCAAAGAAAUCCCACAUGAAGGCAUUUUUUGAGAGUUAUGAGACACAUCAACUCACAGCUUGGACAAGGCAUUCUCAUGUCUAGUAAUCUUAUUCAACAAAUGGCUGCCUACUGUGAUAUUGACUGGGCAACAUGUGCUUAUACAAGAAGGUUUGUUACAAGUUUUCUAAUCAAACUAGAAAAUUCAUUAGUGUCUUGGAAGUCCAAGAAACAAACUACUAUUUCCAGAAGCUCUAUUGAAGUAGAAUAUGGAAGCCUAUCCUCAACGGUUCCAGAACUUACUUGGUUGCUAGGACUAUUAACAGAAUCGUAUCAUAAAGUUGAACUACCUACGAAUGUAUUCAGUAACAAAUCAACAUUACAAAUUGUUGGCAAUCCAAUUUAUCUCUUUACUCUAAACCUCACUUCUCCCUUAUCAUCUUCUUCCUCUCAUUUCAAGUGUCAGUAGUUCAUCAAUGGUGAACUGAAAUAGUUCGAAAAGCCUAUGAAAAAACUUCAUUUUUGUUUUCCAUAUGUCAUGUUCAUGGCGCAUUUCAUCAUGUUAAAGUGUGUAACAAUACAGUCAAGCUUAAACUAUGAAGAAAGGAAUAUGUUGUGUUCAUUUAUGUUAGGUUUGUAAUAUAAACCCUUAACUAGUGUAUCUAGAGGUGGAUCAAAAUGUAAAUUUGUUAGGUGUGAUUUGUAAGAUUUUAGUACCGAAUUCAUUUUAUUUUUCAAGUUAUGAAUUUAAAUAUGUAAAAUAUUUGCUGAAAUUUUAGUAAAUUUUCACAUAUAAAUCUAUGUUGUGCGUCAAAUAGUUGAAUGAACUCGUUGUAAAUAUGCUUCGUCUACCAUAUUAUCAAAGCCUGAUACAUUUUCAAGAUUAAGUAUGUGAAUUUCAUUUUACUUUCAAAGUAAUGAAAUUCGAUCCUAAGAAUUCUUUCAACGAUUAACUUAUAAAGUCUUAAGGUUGUGAAUGAAGUUUAUUGAUUGCAAAUAUCCAAAUGCUACCAAUGUGAGACAUGUCUAAUAAGUCAACUUAGGUUUAAAUAUUUAAUGAAAUUUUAUUUGUCAAAAUUUGAGAUUUGAAUCACCAUGUGACCAUGAGGGCCACACGUGAUUCACCCUAAAAAUUUCAGAUUCUACUUUUUGAAGCAUUCAAUAGCCUUCUUUAACAACCUUAGAUAAUUAGAAUGGGACCUCCAUUAUUUAUUGAAGGAUUAAUUUAUAUUCAUCACUUGACCAAUUUGAAUAAUAACAUAAAUUUAUGAUAAUAAUGAUAUACUCUGUACAAUUUCAGAAAUGGGGAGCUGAAAAGAAUAAGGCGUAUGUAUAGCUUACCUCUGUUCUUAUAGAGUAGAGAGAUUGUUUUGAUAGACCCUUAACUGAAGAGAAAUUAAUUUGCCAGCAAUUGAGAUAGCUACCUUUUGAACUAAUAUUUAAAUUUUAGCAUUGUUUAAAAGUAAUCACCUUUUAGGGUGGAAAUAAAAUAAAUUUAGAUAAUAAGUACUUCUAACUAAAAAUAAGAUAAAUUCUGGUACAAAUGCUAGAGUUUGGAACUUUACAAGUAAAAUUCUAGCAUACUAUGCUGAAGUUUGUUAAAUCCCUAUUUCAUGUGAAAUUCGAGUCAAACGUGACGAAGUUUUGAACCUUUACAUAUAAAACUCCAGUACGUUAAUACAACGGAGUUCAAAUUCAAGCAUAGAAUUCUUAAAUUCUCAAUUUAUAAUCACGAAUUUUAUGAAUCUUUUCUUGAAUUUUAAUAUUAGAAUUACAAAUUCCAUGAUAGAAUUCUUGAAUUUUCAUUAGCAGACCAUGAACCCAAAGUUUUCUUUUUUCCUUCAUCAAUUCUUUAGGCCUAAUAUUCAUUAGGAGUCUUUGGAUCAUGAGAAACUUAUAUGUCAAAAAGAAAUUGUGGUAGAAAAACUAUAAUUUUUAUAUACUAAAAUGAAAUAAAUUAAACCUAAAUGUAUAGCAAUAUGAAUAUAGAGAAAUUGUAUAGCAUGAUAAGAGUUUACUUUUUAGAUUUAUCCACCUAAAACUUUCAUUAAGAAUCUCAUCAACAAAUUGAUCAAAAACUAUUUGCUUCUUCCUCUCCCCUCUUUAAAUAGGACAUAAUCAAAAAUAGAAAGUAAGAAAGAAAAAAAAAAAAAAAAAGAACAAGUGGGCACUGGGCAGGUAGUGGUAUGGUGGUAUUUGAAUAUUUUACUUAUCUUGUCUCAAUCUAACAUUCUAGUUAUAUAUAUACAAACUUCAUUUUUUUCCUCCAAAGCAACAUUUGUUUUUCUCUAUGAAACUCCAAAAUACUAAUAUGACCUUCUCUUCCCUUUGAUCUCCAAAUUUUCUUUAGUGCCAUAUACAUAUACUUUAACAAAAGUUUGAGAUCUAGCAAAAAUGCAAAAUCUCAAAACUACAAUAGAUCUUCCCAAAAUCAAGUCAAUCAAAAUGAAAUCAAAUGAAGUUAUACACACUUCCAAUGUCGAAGUGUAUUAUGGGAAUGCACCAUUGGCUAUUCCAUUUAAGUGGGAAGCUCAACCAGGAACACCAAAAGUCAAGAUUCUUGAAACCCCAAUUCCUCCUCUUACUCCACCACCAUCAUAUCUUGAGAAAAAAAUGAAAAAUGCCAUAAAGAAACAAACAAAGGGUAAAUUGUUACAAAGGUUUUUCUUUCUUCCCAAAUUAAACUUGAGAAAAAGUCAUCUACAACAAUCAUCUCCUACUAGUUCUUCUUCUUCAUCAUCAUCAUCGUCAUCGUCAUCAUUUUCUUCACCGCCUACACCUAGGCGUUGGUCAUAUUCUGUUCCCGCAUCUCCAUGCAGAGUUAAACCUAAUUUCUAGAGCCAG